CCCUACGGGGCGCAGCAGUGGGGAAUAUUGGACAAUGGGGGGAACCCUGAUCCAGCGACGCCGCGUGAGUGAAGAAGUAUUUCGGGUUGUAAACUUCUUUUGACAGGGAAGAGUAGAAGACGGUACCUGUCGAAUAAGCCACGGCUAACUACGUGCCAGCAGCCGCGGUAAUACGUAGGUGGCAAGCGUUGUCCGGAUUUACUGGGUGUAAAGGGCGUGUAGCCGGGUUGACAAGUCAGAUGUGAAAUCCUGCGGCUUAACCGCAGAACUGCAUUUGAAACUGUUGAUCUUGAGUACUGGAGAGG
rnacentral:rRNA from 1 species